UUAAUAGUAAAAUCUGCUCAAUGAAAAUUAAAUAGCCGCAAUUCUGUGCUAAGGUAGCAUAAUCAUUUGUCUUUUAAUUUAAGACUAGAACAAAAGAUUUAACAUUUCAAUAAAUUUAUUAUAUUUUAACUUUAAAUUUUUUCAAAAGUAAAAAAACUUUUAUCUAAAAGAAAGACGACAAGACCCUAUUGAACUUAACUUCAGUUUUACUGGGGUAGUAAAUUAAUUAUCAUUUUAAUACAUCUAAAAAUAAAGAUAUCUAAAUAAAUUAAUAAUUUAGUUACCAUAGGGAUAACAGCGUAAUUAUAUUUUAAAGUUCUUAUUUAAAAUUAAGAUUUCGACCUCGAUGUUGAAUUAGUAACCUAACUAAAGAAAAUUUUUGAAAAGGAAGUCUGUUCGACUUUUAAACAACUACAUGAUUUGAGUUCAGACCGGUGUAAGCCAGGUCGGAUUCCAUCUUCUACAUAGUUUUUUGUAGUACGAAAGGACCUAAAAAUAUAAUAUUAUUAUAAUAUUGGCAGAUAAUUGCAUUAGAAUUAGAAUCUAAUAAAACUUUA
rnacentral:rRNA from 1 species